rnacentral:lncRNA from 1 species
UACGGAAGGAGCGCGCGUCCCCGCGCCCGGGGCCCCGCAGCAGGGGCGGCCAGGGCUCUUCUGCCCUGGAGGCCCGGCUACUCACCCCAACGAUGUCCCUAGGCGAGCUAGCCGUUGGCUCGGACGCUCUUCCGCUUGCUGCGCUGUCUCCUCGUAGCCGUAGCCGCCGUCCUCGCCGCCGCCGCCGCCGUCGCGGCGCGCGCCCGCCUUUACGCACACCGCCGUGGCCGCGCACGCGUCUCUGCGCGCUGGCGUCACUUAGCAACCGAGGCUGUGGUACCUGGGAGCCGGAGAUCUAAGGUUCCUUGAUCCUCUCCCGCGGUUCUGCGGCUUCUCCUUCACGCGCGCGACCCCGCGGCCCCUCCUCAGCAGGGACCUCGGCGUGUGGCCCCUAGGUCGGCCCCCAGCUCCGGGUAAGCGCCUCACCACGCGUCACCAUAUUGCGUCACCGGCGCGGUGCGUGUCACUAGAGAUGGGAAGGUCCAGCGUGCCUGUGGAGAGAGCAGUGUCGUCGUGCAGUCGGACACGGCCUGAUCAGCAGCUUAUGCGAUGUGCAAAGAGGUUCUCCGAGCACUUGGACCUGAAGCAGCUGGAUGCAGCUGAUGCCGAGGCAGCAAAGUGUGAUGGAGCAACACUUGAAUCCCUCCUGACUUUCAGUUCCCUUAUUCUUAUCAACUCUAAGAGCAGAGGCAACUACUCUGAAGAUGACAAGAUGUGACCGGCGCAGCUCCCCAGUGAGACAGGAAACACUUCAGGUAAACCACAUGUACAUGUGUAAGAACGCGCCUCGCAACAUUAUUUGCAAUUUAAAAAAAUGGAAACAAUGAGAGAGUCGGUCAAUAAUGAAUAAAUGAGUUGUGAGACAUCUGUGCAACAGAAUACUAUUCAGUUAUAUAAAUGAACUACUCCUAUAAGUAUUGAUCUAUAAGAUGUAAUUGAUGUAUUAGUAAGAAAAAAAGCUAGAUGCUAAGCACAGUAUAGGACCUGAUAUCAUAUUUGUGGGGAAAAAAAGGAAGAAAUGUAUUAGUUUCCUCUGCAACAGCGUAAAACAAUAUACAUUUACCCUCCUACUGCUCUAAAGACUGGAAAUCCAACGUUCUGAAAGAGUGAAAGAUAUAUUAUUUGCUGUGCAGCAAAGAUGUCUAAAGUGCCAAGUAACCGGAACCCGCUCCUCCAAUGGAGUCUGCUUUCCUGAAGUCUGUAUAUGGCGUGGUCCACCCAUCAGCUACAAGUCAGAGCCCAGGAGAACCAUCCGCGAGCACAGGUUACCCAGAAAGCAUCUUCAUGUCUACAAGCCUGUUCAGGAAGCCACGUUUAACUUGGCUGUGGACACCUGGGCUACCAAAGAGCACUUGACAGUGACUGGGUUCAUCUCUGGCUAGCAGAAGCCUACUGGCCUUUCACCUCUGAUAUCAGGGAUGCUGUCUGCCAGACUUUUGCAGAAAUUUGCCAGCAUCCACAGUUCCUUCCCAAACAAUUAACCUCACCAAGAUUCAAGUGCCCGUGAAGAACUUACUCAAGCUGUACGACAGUGGGGACCCUGGUGACCUGAUACCAGAGGGCUGGUUUACUAGAUUGAACUCCAUGUUCUGAGCUGUCAAUUUUUUUUCUCUCUCUCUUUUUUUUUUUUUUUUUUUUUUUUUUGCCUUUUUCCUUUUUAUCAGUACCAGGGAUCGAACUCACGACUGCCUGCUUACAAGGCAGGCGCUUAUGCCGCUGAGCUAAGUCCCCAGCCCCCGAGCUGUCAAUUUUUAAUGCAUUGGAAAUUAAAUAUAUGGGAAAAUUUGUAGUUGAAUUUACCUUACUCUGUCAACAGUAAGCUGUAAAAACAGAACUAUGACACAUUUUUAAAAGUAAGCAGAGCAUUUUAUGUCACAGAAUUCCUUAAACCAAUUUAUUCUUAGUUGAUAAUGGAUCUAAUUUUUUCUUGAAAAGGUGUGAUUUUUUAAUAGACUACAGACACAUCGAUCAGAUAUCUAUGAUUAAUCGAAAACCAAAAUAAAUACAUUUUAUUAUAUCUCCAUCUUCGAGUAUGUUUUCUGAAAACUGUAGUAACAUAUAUUGACAGCAAUACUUUUAUAAUAUUUCUACAGGUCUCUUCCACUUGAGCAAAUUUCAAAGUAUUUUCAAAAUAGUUGCUUACACAUGUAGAAUUUCACAUCAUUGUGAUUAUUUCUACAUUUUUGACAAUAACCAGGUAUUUGACAAUAACUGUGUUCCCUCAUUUCGUACAUAGGCUUUGACCACCAUGCAACAUCAUCUCUGCCGUAUAUAUUUCUUAAAACAAAAGUAAGGUGUAAAUGACUUGAUCCCCCCUGCACACGCAUACUUGGGAGGAAAAAGGUACCAAUAAAAGUCCCUCCCAUGGUUAAGAGGUAAAGCAACACCAAACUGCAAAGAGGUUUUCAUAAAAGUACAAUUAAUUUAGGGGAUUUUGUUUCUUAGAAUUUGAUGUGCCAAAGAGACUAAUAAUGCUGAAGGACUUUAAGCUCAGAAGGAAUUUUGUUUAACAGUUUUAAAUAGAAUUUAAACAGAAUUCUGUAUUCUAUAACAAAACACAUACUAUUCCUUGGACAAGAAACAGUGAAAAGGGGACUAUUCUUGUCCAAAGAAUAUCUGCAAAACUCAGUCACACGCUUGCCCACAGAAAUUAAAAAUAAACACACACAUAGUGUAUGCUUUCUAGCUACAAUGCAAUAGAACUAGAAUUAAUAUUUUAAAAGGUGGCAAGAGCUGGAGAUGUAGCUCAGUUUUACAGCCUGUGGUGAGCGUGGGCGAGGCUCUGGGUUCCAUCUCCAGCUCGGAAAAAUUACAGCAAAUCCAGAAGUAUUUAACUCGAAUUGUUACUAGCAGGCAUUCCAAAAUGAAAAGAGAUACCAGCUGCAGGAUGAAACCGGUAUUGGAGUUCGCGGUGAAGAGACAGAAAGAGCCUGGGCCGCAGGGAUGACACUUUCACUUGAAUCGUACCAACUGAAAUGGAGCCAUACUUUGUCUGCACCCAAGUUACGAGUUACGCGAACCUUUAAUUUCCUUGUUAUUUAAAUCUUCUUGGCUUCCAGCCGGAAGCAUUCGAUCCCAUGCCAUCAGGUUAAAAUCUUGUCAUUCUUUUAUUUCAAUUAUUUAUGUUAGAACUUGAAAUAGUAUUUCAUAUAGCUUUUCAAUAUGUCUAGUAUUUACUGAGCCAGACAUCAUUUCAUUUGAUAACUAUUAUGAGAGAAAUAAUAAUAGAUGGCACUAUUACCUGGCUGAAACUGUUCUAAGCAUUUUUACACAUAUUAACUCAUUGCAUGUCCUCGGCAAUACCAUGAGAUAAGAUAUGUUAUUCUCUUCAUUAUAUAAUAACAUUUAACUCCAGCCCAGUUCAAGGGAAAACAGAAUUCUCCAGUGCUAUGCUGUCCAUUACACUAGCCACCUGUGGCCACUGAACACUUGAGAUGUGGUCUAAAUGUGACGGUGUGCAUACCAGAUUUGAAAGGCUUUGUAUGAAUAAAAUAACACGAAGCCAGGCGUGGUGGCUCAUGCCUGUAAUCCCAGAACUCAGGAGGACCAUUGCAAGUUCAAGACCAGCCUGGGCUACAUAGUGAGCUGAGGGCCAGUUUGAACUGCAUAGCGAAACCUUGUCUACACACACACACACACACACACACACACACACACAAACAAAGAGGAAUACAAAAUAUCUUGGAAGUGUACUAAACUGAUUAUCUGUUUAAGAUAUUUUGGAUAUAUUGUCUUAAAACAUGGUGAAAGUUAAAUUUAUUUUUGACAUCUUCCUAUGCUUUCUUUAAAAAAAAAAGUCAUAUGCAUGGCUCGUUUUAUGUUGCUUUUGGACAGUGCUAUACUAUUGUGGUGCAGUGCUGGGCCAGCCGGAGCAGCUUCGUUUAGAAACUAAAUAAAAAAUCUGAAUGAAAACCUCGGGGUGACGCCCUGAAAACCUCGGGGUGACGCAAGCCCUCUGCGUGUGUGUGUGUGUGUGUGUGUGUGUGUGUGUGUGUGUGUGUGUAAUGAAAUCUCCAUUGGGCUAUAAAUCACUUGUUUAAAGUAGUUUGUUCCAUAGGGUUGUGCAAACAUCUAACUUGAAACAUUUGCAUCACCACAAAAAGAAAUCUCACUGCCGUUGUCCGUCACUCUCCGCACUCCCCACGCCAUGCCCUCCGCCCCAGGCGAUGGAUACUCUCAGUCUGGAGAAUUCACAGGAAUGGAAUCCCGCGAUGUGCAGGCUCUUGUGACUUGUGGCUUCUGCACUGACCACCCUGUUUCCUUCUGUGGCCUUGCUAAGUUGUGAAAACCGCUGCUUUAGGUAGAAAUGGAGAUGAAGCAGCCGCCGAGCUCCUGAAAAACAAAGGGUAUUUAAAAAAAAUACCCUGAUCAUAAAAGAAAAAGAGAACUCAGAAAGACAGACAGCAAAAGGUGAUUAAGCUUUUCAUGUGAGAAAAUAAGCUAUUAGGGCUGGGGGUUUAGCUUAGCGGCAUAAGCACCUGCCUUGCAAGCAGGCGGUCGUGAGUUCAAUCUCCGGUACCGAUAAAAAUGAAAAAGACAAAAAAAAAAAAAAAAAAAAAAAAAAAAAAAAAAGAAAAUAAGCUAUUUACUUUUGUUCCAAAAGUCUAGGAUGACAUGGAGGCCAAAUACAGGUAUACAUGAAUUAUAUUUCUGGCUUUGCUCUAUAACAGUUUUAAUCUUUAUAAACUCCUUAUGUUACCCAGAAAAUGAUAGUUAAAGCUAUGACAGUGGUGACAUUACCAAAGUGGGGAAACUAGGGCAAGAAAAGGCUGGCACUGAGAAGAGAAUGUUGGGAGACACAUCCUAGGCGGUUUACAAAAGGGUUCAUGUUCAUUUCCCCCCUGAAAUCUAGCCAUACCCCUGUGGGGAAGUGGUCACUGUCACCCUGUUAGCGCACAGCUGGUGGAUCACAGUUAACAUCACCAGUGGUGUAUCCACAGCACAUCCCCUUGAUGUGAAAAAUCCCCUUUUUCCUGGAGGUCUUCCCUCUUUUAAAACUGGUUACUUUAAGGU